rnacentral:lncRNA from 1 species
UGAAUACGGCAAAUAACUAGAAUGAAGUCAUAACAAGUGUACUACGUGGCCGCGUUAUAAGUUUAUAAAGGCCAGCCAACAGGCAAAAAGAAGAAAAAAAAGACCUGACUGAGUCACCUGACCAAUAUGGCGAUUACAUCAUUGAUGCGUUAGACGAAAGGCAGUUUUGAGAAUUAAUUUCCUUUAGUUUUAUCUACCAAAUUAGCUACUUAUAUAUGGAGAAUAAUAAACAUUGGCCAGUGGGCAUUGUAAAUUAUUGUAUUACCUUUGAAGAGAUGAAUCAUUGAUUAUGGUAGAGAAUUGCAUUAAUAAGGAAAGGUUUGGAGGGUUGACAUCAGAAGAUCACAUAGUUACACUACUUACUCCCUACUGCAGUCUUUUGCAUGGAUUUUUUCACAACAAUGGAUAACACAAAAAUAUGUUUUCUUUAUUGCUUGUUAAAGUACGGCUAACAAGCCCAAUGCAAUUGGAUCUGAGGUCUUUUAUCUCCCCUUGUUAGUUGCCAUGAAAUUGCAAGCUUUAACAGAACUCUGCUGGCUUUCUGGUGCCCACGUCUUUCAUAUCACAGGGCACAAGAAAAGCCUUUCUUAUCCACAUGAGUCAACAUUUUGAGAUGGCUGGACGGACCACACAGAGAUGGUCUGCCGACUCCUAUUGCAAAAUCUACAAACUUCUUUGUCACUCAGUCCUAGUCUCUUAAGGUGUUUCCAGAGAGGCCCAUGAUCCGUUAAAUCUGAAGUCUUAGUUGUUCUUUUGGUAAGGUCAAAGCCAUUUUGUUACCUUCCUGUAGCGGGUGUAUGAAUAGUUUUGACAUUCUUAAUCCUCGGGAAUUAUGCUUUGAAACUUUUAACUUUUUAUUCCCUAUUCUUUACAAACCCCUUGUCAUAACUAAAGGCCAUACUAAAACAAGGUCCCAAACCUAUCAAUGUGGAUUCUGCCCUCUUUCUUGCCAGUGAGUGCCUCUUCAUUUCCUCUGAUGCCUUGGCCCGGUACUCACACCAACUCUACUUGGUUAUAUUUAGUUCCUUUAACAUGUGGUGGCAACUAAACACCAGCAUUAGAUUAAACUUGUAGUCUCUUAAUAGCUGCCUGGCUGUCUGAGAGAAUAAGAAUUUUUUGCUUUAUUAUAUUUCUUGGUUAUCAUUAGUUGUGCACAUUCUUAUAUGGUUCCAACUUCUGCUUGAAACAGUGGCUAUUGAACCUAAAGCCAGAAUAUGUCUUAUGCUUGGCUCUAAGACCCAGUCCCGAAGCAGUCCCCAUUCACGAGCUAUCCAUAUAGAACACAACUAGCCUCUAUCCUGAGAAUCUCUGACUUUCUCCAGUGACUCUUUUUUACUUCCUGUAGUAACAUUGAGUGGUAUUUCAAAAUUAAACUUGGUUUUUAUGUCUGAGACUGUAUAGAUUAUGUCUGAUUUCUUUAUUUCUUUUAGAAUGGAUAUGUGUCGCAUUCCAUUUGUAUUUUUUAGUAUUUCCUCUUUAUGAUUUCCUUAUUUUCUAAGGCGAUUUCCACAACUAAACAAUGCAGUGCUGUUGUUAUUGUGGAUUUUCUGAAUGUAAACACAUGCUGAUUUACAUGCAAAGGGGAGUUUCUGAUUACCUCAUCCCUUACAUAUCUGUUCAGAAAUUCAGAAAAGGCAGUGAGACUUUUUGGUGUAUAGGAGGUUUGGUUAGUGUUGUCUCUGUUUCCCUUGUCACUAAUGAACACAACGACUUCUUGACGACUUUUGGGAUAUACUCUAAACAGAAACUUGCUCUAAAAGUUGUUACUAGAUGUGUAGACACUAUGUCUGCCCCUCUUUGAAGUAGUGCGGUGUAAAUCCUGUCUGCCCUGGGUUUUGAAUUGUUUAAAGGACGUAAUGGCCCAUUCUACCGUUUUGUUCUUUUUUUUUAUGAAAAUUUUCAAGCAGGUGUUUUGGCCCACAUUCCUUUCUUGCGUGAUCUUCUAAUGCGCGGUACACUAAUUAUCCUCUCCCCUAUUAUAUUCUCCCUGGGGAAGUGGGUCCCAACAGUAUGUGCUUUGUUUCAAUUCAUUUUGUUAUAUAUUCCUCUUUUUCCAGUGAUGCUAUCAUGCUCCUUUGUUCCCUCUGUAAGAUGUUUUGUACUCUUGAGGCUUUUGGAAGACGUUACAAGUCUUGAUAAAACUUCCUCCAGGAUUGUGUUGUGCUUCUUAGUUCCUUUUUAUAUUUUGUAUAUUUGCCUUUCUGUACUUUUCCCAGUUAUUGCUCUUCUUAACCUUGUUAAAAAGAUGGCACGCUCUUGCCCUAAGGAUUGCAAACCUACCAGGAUACUCCUCUUUUAUACUUUUUAACCUUAAGACAGCAAUUUCCCUCAAAAGCUCCUAUGAUAGCUUCAUCCAGUUUUUGAGUAUACAGUUCUUUGUUAGCGAUGCCCAUCCCAGUCAUUUGAUUUAUAGUGACAGUAGUGAGUGUCUUUUAUUGCGUAGGCCCCAAAAUCAAAUUAAUGUAUCUAUGAUCUAUGUAGCAAGGAGAUUUACCCCCUUACAUGUCAAUCCGUCACCUCAUAGUUUGCAUAACCACUAGUGUUAAAUCUAGAACCUCCCUCCUUGAUCUUAUUACAAAGUAAGGUUUGUUUCUUGCAUUGAAUAUAUUUAGAUAAUAUAAAACAAAUCAUGUUGUCAUUUCUCACCUCUUACAUUAGGGUUGUUACUUCCCCAGACGGCAUGGUAUGUGUUAAUAUCACAUCCUAACACUGAUGCCUUUUCUUUGGCAGUAUAUUGUGAGUUCUAUGUCUGGAGGAGGACAAUCUCUUCCAGGAUUUGGAAAAUACACUGAGUCAGCAAAUAUAUCCUGUUUUCCCCUUGA